UUUACACCAACAACCCAACUAUCAAUAAAUUUAGGAAUAGCUAUCCCUCUAUGAGCAGGAGCAGUAAUUACCGGAUUUCAUCACAAGACUAAAGCAUCAUUAGCCCACUUUCUCCCACAAGGAACCCCAAUCCUACUUAUUCCCAUACUUAUUAUUAUCGAAACAAUCAGCCUUUUCAUUCAACCUAUAGCAUUAGCCGUACGACUAACAGCUAAUAUUACAGCUGGUCAUCUUCUUAUACAUUUAAUUGGAGGAGCAACCCUUGUAUUAACAUCUAUUAGCCCUCCUACAGCUAUUUUAACUUUCAUCAUUCUUGUGUUAUUAACAAUGCUCGAAUUUGCAGUUGCACUAAUUCAAGCUUAUGUCUUCACUCUCCUAGUAAGCUUAUAUUUACACGAUAAUACUUAAUGACCCACCAAACCCACGCCUACCAUAUAGUCAACCCCAGCCCCUGACCCUUAACAGGAGCCCUCUCCGCCUUACUUCUAACAUCUGGCUUAGUAAUAUGAUUUCACUUCAAUUCCUCUUUUAUCCUCACACUAGGCCUAACAGCUAAUACCCUUACAAUAUAUCAAUGGUGACAAGACAUUGUACGAGAAGGCACAUUUCAAGGUCACCAUACAUCAAUUGUCCAAAAAGGCUUACGAUAUGGUAUAGUACUAUUUAUUAUCUCAGAAGUAUUCUUUGCCGGGUUCUUCUGAGCAUUCUACCAUUCUAGUCUGGCCCCAACUCCCGAACUGGGCAGCUGCUGACCUCCAGUAGGGAUCAACCCACUUAACCCCUUAGAAGUACCACUAUUAAAUUCCUCUGUUCUUUUAGCUUCAGGAGUCUCAAUUACCUAAGCUCAUCACAGCCUGAUAGAAGGAGACCGAAAACAUAUAGUUCAAGCUUUAUCAAUUACAAUUGCUUUAGGACUUUACCCUUCUCCAAGCCUCUGAAUAUCUAGAGACAUCCUUUACAAUUUCAGAUGGCGUAUACGGCUCAACAUUUUUUAUAGCUACAGGUUUCCAUGGUCUCCAUGUCAUUAUUGGAUCAACUUUCCUCCUAGUAUGUCUCAUUCGUCAACUAAACUUUCACUUUACAUCAAAUCACCAUUUUGGAUUUGAAGCAGCCGCAUGAUACUGACAUUUCGUAGAUGUCGUAUGACUUUUCCUCUAUCUAUUUAUUGAUGAGGCUCAUAUUCUCUUAGUAUUAAUUAGUACAAUUGACUUCCAAUCAUUUAGUUCUGGAACUAACCCAGAAGAGAAUAAUAAACCUUAUAGUAACCCUCUUUGUAAACUCUUCUAUUGCUCUACUACUAAUCUCCGAAGCAUUUUGAUUGCCUCAACUAAACGUAUAUGCUGAAAAGGCAAGCCCUUACAAAUGUGGUUUUGAUCCCAUAGGAUCUGCUCGCUUACCAUUUUCAAUAAAAUUUUUCCUUGUUGCAAUCACAUUUCUUCUAUUUGACUUAGAAAUUGCUCUUCUUCUCCCCCUCCCCUGAGCUUCCCAAACAAAUAAUCUUAGCCUUAUAUUAACUAUAGCCUUACUCUUAAUCUUAAUUCUUAC
rnacentral:lncRNA from 1 species